rnacentral:lncRNA from 1 species
ACUUCUAUGCAAGGCAGUCUUGUGCUAAAGAAUUGCUAAAAGAGACAGUGCCUUUUGAAUGCACCAUAUGUGUUAUUCAAAAGCAGUGGCAAGUCGAAGCUCCUAUCUUAAUCCUCGCUUGUUAUUAUGGAAGCCUGGAUCCAACUUUUGAAGGAUAAGAGAUUUCACAGAUCAUUGAUUACAAAGGCAAUAGCCAACACCAACACCCCAGACAUGAGAGGGAUGCUACCUUCGAUGCAGCCUCCCUGCCCGGCCCCAGUCAAGCCACCGAUGACUGCUACUACCUGAGCAAGCCCAGGAGUGGGACUGGUGGCUCUGUAAGAAGAGGAGGAGGCACCUGAGCUGGCACACUCAGCUCCUUCACCAUGUGAUGCCCUGCACCACCUCAAGACUGCAGAGUCCUUACCAACAAGACGGCACUCACCAAAUGCAGCCCUUAGACCCUGGACUUCUCAGUCUUUUUAACUGUAAGAAAUAAAUUCCUUUUCUUUAUAAAUUACCCCAUGUUUCAGGUACUCUGUUAUAAGCAACACAAAACAGACUAAGACAUCUUACCACAUUCAUCUAUCCAAAUAAGUUGCAAGUAUAUGGUCAGUAAGUUAUCUUAUAAGUGCUCCCACACUGAAUGCAUGGUAAAUGCCAAAUAUGUAAUUGUAAUGUAUUGGUUGAGCCAAUAAAUCCAUCCAGAUAGAAUUCAUGCCCUUCACAUGUUGGUUUUACUCUUCUCUGGAUGAUGGUGUUACCUCCGAUCAUUUUGUACUCAGUUGGCAUAAAU